CCUAGGGGAGGCAGCAGUGGGGAAUAUUGCACAAUGGGCGCAAGCCUGAUGCAGCCAUGCCGCGUGUAUGAAGAAGGCCUUCGGGUUGUAAAGCACUUUCAUCCGGGAGGAAAUCCUUUUCGGAUAAUACCCGCAGCGGAUGACGUUACCCGCAGAAUAAGCACCGGCUAACUCCGUGCCAGCAGCCGCGGUAAU
rnacentral:rRNA from 1 species